AAAGCAAGCCCAACGCAAGCUUAAAACGACAGAGAACGCCCUAAGGUACAACGGGCACGCAAGGAGUGAGUAAGUUCUAGUGAUCUUACGUCCAUGUAUGAACACAAGAUAUUUUGUCAAGGAGUAGUCUGGGAUAUUAACUCCUUUGACCAGUGGGGAGUUGAAUUAGGCAAACAGCUUGCUAAAGCAAUUCAGC